GACGAACGCUGGCGGCGUGCUUAACACAUGCAAGUCGAACGAUGAAGUUCCUUCGGGGAUGGAUUAGUGGCGAACGGGUGAGGAACACGUGAAGAAUCUGCCCUCCACUUUGGGAUAACUCCGGGAAACCGGGGCUAAUACCGAAUAUUGAAACAUAAGCGGCAUCGCUGAGUUUUGAAAGAAUUUCGGUGGAGGAUGACUUCGCGGCCUAUCAGCUUGUUGGUGAGGUAAUGGCUCACCAAGGCAACGACGGGUAGCCGGCCUGAGAGGGCGACCGGCCACACUGGGACUGAGACACGGCCCAGACUCCUACGGGAGGCAGCAGUGGGGAAUAUUGGGCAAUGGACGCAAGUCUGACCCAGCGACGCCGCGUGCGGGAUGAAGGCCUUAGGGUUGUAAACCGCUUUCAGCAGGGAAGAAGCGAAAAGUGACGGUACCUGCAAAAGAAGCACCGGCUAACUAUAGUG
rnacentral:rRNA from 1 species